rnacentral:rRNA from 1 species
UACGGGGGGGGCAAGCGUUGUUCGGAAUUACUGGGCGUAAAGGGCGCGUAGGCGGUCUGCUAAGUUGGAUGUGAAAACUCUGGGCUUAACCCAGAGCCUGCAUUCAAUACUGACAGGCUAGAGUUCUGGAGGGGAUAGCGGAAUUCCUGGUGUAGCGGUGAAAUGCGUAGAUAUCAGGAGGAACACCAAUGGCGAAGGCAGCACUCUGGGACGUGACUGACGCUGAGACGCGAAAGCGUGGGGAGCAAACAGG